UACGGAGGAUGCGAGCGUUAUCCGGAUUUAUUGGGUUUAAAGGGUGCGUAGGCGGGCUUUUAAGUCAGCGGUAAAAAUGCGGUGCUCAACGCCGUCGAGCCGUUGAAACUGGCGUUCUUGAGUGGGCGAGAAGUAUGCGGAAUGCGUGGUGUAGCGGUGAAAUGCAUAGAUAUCACGCAGAACUCCGAUUGCGAAGGCAGCAUACCGGCGCCCUACUGACGCUGAGGCACGAAAGCGUGGGUAUCGAACAGG
rnacentral:rRNA from 1 species